rnacentral:misc_RNA from 1 species
AACGCACAUUGCGCCCUCUGGUAUUCCGGAGGGCAUGCCUGUUCGAGCGUCAUUACACCCCUCAAGCUUCUUUUUUUGCUUGGUGUUGGGAGCACGCCCCCGGGUUGCGGGGCGCUCCCGAAAAUCAGCGGCGGUGCAGCCGAUAUCUCUAGCGCAGUGACAUUUAGAUCUCGCUACGGGUAUUUUAGGCAGAUACCAUGCCGAAAUUUUCAAAAUAUUUCAAAAAUUGACCUCGGAUCAGGUAGGAAUACCCGCUGAACUUAA